UACGAGGGGGGCGAGCGUUGUUCGGAAUUAUUGGGCGUAAAGGGCGCGUAGGCGGUGCGGUAAGUCACCUGUGAAACCUCUGGGCUUAACUCAGAGCCUGCAGGCGAAACUGCCGCGCUGGAGUGUGGGAGAGGUGCGUGGAAUUCCCGGUGUAGCGGUGAAAUGCGUAGAUAUCGGAAGGAACACCAGUGGCGAAAGCGGCUUCCUGGUCCGACACCGACGUUCAGGCACGAAAGCGUGGGGAGCAAACAGG
rnacentral:rRNA from 1 species